UGUGCUUUCUGACCUCGUGGAACCCGAAUCAUACGGUCGUGGCAGUUGGGUCCCAAUCAGCCCCGUAAUACCCCAAAUCAUCAUUGGUUUUGCAACUGGACUCCCUAUCCUAUAUUUCUCGAUAGUACGAUGACAAUUGCAGGGGCUGAGUUAGGCCCUACCAAAACUCACCCACUAUAUAUGUAUGUCCAUUCCUAGCCUAACCCUAGCCUACCGUGUCCAAUCCCUUGUUCCGCCGCCACAUGGUCACGUUGGAAUCCCGAGCUACCCAACCAGCGCUCACCCUGCUCGAUCCAGCCGAGCCAUCUAGCACCGAUCCCCUCACCACCGCAGCCAAUCAAGCCUCGAUCUCCUUGCGUGUAGGCUCCCCUACUUCUUGGACUUGUCGGGCAGCCUGAAGUGGCCAUCGUCCGCGUGCCCACAGGGCAGACCUCAGCCUGCCAGCUGCGGAGUCGCCUCCGCCACAAGGAUGUUGGCGUUCUCCUGCCCGUCUCUAUUUCCGCACGGGAGGAGCGCCUCACCCACCCCUAGAUCUGCCGACCCCAAGAUUCGCUGAGGCCUUGCCUCUGCCUCCAUCUUCUGUCGGCGAGCAGAGCCGUCAGAGCGCCUCGCCAUCACCUUGUUGGUCGUUCACUUCAGGAACCAUCAUGGCAGACCAAAGCUUUGACCCGUGUUGCCCGCUCAUCCUCGACCCCAGCAACGCCGACCUCCCAAGACCCUCCUUCCACAUGAGGAACCGCGCCCCAUCACCUAUUAGCCGUCGGAUUCGCUCCGUCCCGCUGUCCUACGCCCAUUCCCGACGGGUCCCCGUCGCCAGAAGCCAUGCCAUGUCGCAACCUCCCCUGCACUGUCGGCCUUGCCUCAGUUUCAACCUAGAGACGACCGAGCAGGUCGUGCCCGUGGCCUUUGACCGCGUGCCGCCCGUGUGGACCUUUCCAGCGCAUCUCGCGGAUCAAACCAGCCUGCCUCAGCCUCCUCACCACAUGGGCUUAUCCCAUGGUGAGCGCACUCCCCUUUGUCUUUAAUGUUUGUGGAGGUCACCUACUACUAUGUCGCGCAUAUGACCGUAGUCGAGAUGGUUGGUUGCAUGGGGUCAUGGGUUCGAUUUCCAACCGCUUGUGUAUUUUGCCAUGGGUUUUUUCCCUUUUGCACACACACCCUAUCAUGUUGGGCCACUCCACGGCCGUAGAUUAGGCCCGAUAACAUUUUUACGGCGUGCAAAUUUAUCUAUUUAUCCAGAGAUUCAGUUUAUAGAAAACAUCACCAUUUUGCAUGCUCAUA